rnacentral:lncRNA from 1 species
GCCUCCCCCUCCCGAAAAAACCUAGCCGCCCCAAUUAGAAGAAUGCUCUCAAAUUCCUCACACACGCUCUCACAUUAGGACCCGGUUAAUCUCUGCAUUCCUUAGAAAUUCACAAACUCUUAUUUCAUCAUUUUUUUUAGAGAAAGAACACUCCAUUCUCACGAGUUGGUUUUAUUCAACAAUGGACACUGAUUUUACGCUAGACUCGGCAGAAUAGACACUCCCCUCAUCUUAUACUAAUUUCUUUCAAAAACAAAAUGCACAUAUCCUGCAUACACUGAAUACACUGCAUAAGCAAGCUUUUUGGGAACAUUUUUCUGGGUUUAGAAGCUGCUGAAGUUUGAGUCAAUUUGCUGGUGAUUACUGUUUAAGUUGCUCUUGUCUGACCAAGCUCUGUUUGCUCUCGAAUUUGACCUUUACUUGGUCAUUUUAUUUUGUCUCCUUGUUGUUAGGUAUGUAACACUUCAUUUGAGAUCUCUAUUAAAUAUGGAAUUGAAGUUUGUGAUUUGUUCUUGUUGUAUUUAUGUCCAGAUUUCGUGUAUUGAGGGCGAUGGUCCAUAGAUCUGUCCAUAUUUGUUGUCUCCCUUGAUAUCUAAAAUCAUUCAUUUUGCUCAAGUUGAAAGUUAAGCUAAAAUUGUCCAUUAACUAUGUUUAAACUCACUUGAACAAUGAUUUGUAUAGUGGAUGCAUAUUGAGAUUUUAAAUUACCGAAAAAUGAUUCAAGGUCAAAGGAUAAUAAUCUUUUAAAUCUCAUAUGUUAGAUGUUUGAUUUGAGUGAGUAAGUGUAAUCUUGAUUGGUCUCAAUCAAUUGCUCUGUCUGUUAAUGGCACUAUUAAUUUGCAAUUUCGGAAUUCCGUUGGGAGGCUUUGGAGUAGCAAAGAGUUGGCAAUGAACAUUUUUUUUUGCAGGAAUCGACAUUGCUAAAGCCUAAUUUUAGAGUUUAUUAGUAGAAGUCUAUAGGUGAUGACAAGAUUCAAAUAUG